UCGAGGCUUGCUUGAGUGUGGGCUCUUCCCGUCCCCUUCCGCCACCCGCUUUCCUUCCCGGGCGCUGCCCGCCUCCAACGGCCAGGAAAUGCGCUGAUCCGCUCUGGCUGCUGUUCCUUGCGCGGUUCCCCCCAGGAGGACACAUUUCGUGAGGGCAAAAACCUUUGUUCUCUUCAUUAAUUUAUCCGCCGAGCACCUAGGACAGGGCCGAGCUCAUGGAUGCUCCAUAAACGCAGACAAAAAAUUAAUUGUAUAUGCUAGUGUCCCGAACCUUAUUUCCUAAUUACCUUCUCUAACGGGGCAGUUAGAUGAAAACCAGUUGUCUCUCCUGCCGCGCUGUGUCUAGAAGGAGCACAGGACAUGCGAGUCCAGGAGGACAGGAACCAUAUCUGGCUUUCUCAGCACUGUAUACCCAGCACCGAGUUGUGACACAUAGUAGGCAACCGUUACAUUGCUUCUGAGCAGAGUGCGGUUAUUUCUACAGUGAACAAUCCUAAAACUCCUUUCUCGCUGAUCCCACACUGAAGGAGCAUUCCUGCCCAGCCACCUUUCUUCUAGCUGCCAUCUUCGAAGGGCUCUGCUAAUCGCGGGUGAGUAUUAACAGCACAGCGGUGUCCCACAGACGGAGACGGGUUGGUGACCUGCUUACUGUGCACGCUCCUCUGCUGUUACCAGGGGCAGGCGGGAGUUAUGAGAACAUCGACGGCCACAGUCGGCCCUGAGGAAACCAGGGCAGCAGAGUUCCCCAACUGUCCUCUGUUGGGUUUGGAAACAUCCUCUGCCCUCUCUCCGGAGGUUUGCCAAGUGGUGGGCCUCUUGUCUUCAGGGCCCUUUUUGUCCUAAAACUCACCAGGUCCUUCUUACCAUCUGGCCGCCCUGUGUACCCCGACAUUCAUUCCCGCUUCCUUCUUGGGAGGUUUGCUACCAAGCAUCUAGAAUUGCACAACACACAAACUUGGAGCAGGUUCAACUCUUUAACUAGUUUCGGUUGUUUUAUGAUCAAUACCUCUUGCCUCAGGCUCCAAAGGAAAAUUACAGCGCAAUCAGCUCUGUGUUUUUAUAAACUGUGUCUGGCUUGCCUCUGCCUUUGAUCCGUUCUCAUGGAGCACAGUGACGGGGUGUGGCGACCGCUAUGUAAGCACACGGAAGACAGCAGAGGACGGGUCGUGCUCCGCCAGUGACCACACAGAAGGCCUUGUUCCCAGGCUCGCCUAUGUUGUCCUGUGGUUAUCAGGAGCCGGGACCUCAGCCUUUCGCCCAUGCACCUGCCGAUCCCUGUGCUCCUGAGCGCUGCGUCGCUUUGCUCUGCCACACCUUGCAGUGUGAGGGAGGAGAGGAGAGGAAGUGGCUGGGGCCCAGCAAUGGAGACUUAACUACUCUGAAGACGCAGAGACCUUAAGCAGGUGCUUUUCCCAGUUGAAACAUGAAAUUCCAAGAAAAGAGAGGGCUUCUGUAACCUUCACAAAGGGAGUUAAAACCACACGGCUCGGGGAGGCUGUGUGGCUUGCUCAGGCCCAGGGCAGCUAGCAGGUGGCAGGGAAGAGGUGCAGCCUGCCGUGCCAGAUGCCGACAUGCCACCCGCUGCGCUGCACUGCGCUGCCCACGGUGGCCAGAGUGAGCAAGAGGCCGAAAUGGGGCCACUGAGCACAUGGCAGCACCAGAGCGCCAGAGCAGAGCAAGGCCCCUCUUCGAGCCUGAGCUACGGGGAGGGCAAGAGGAGAGAGCAGGGGGCACGCUGGGGCCGGUGCCCAGGCUCCCGCGUCAGCGGCGCUGGCCGUCCUCUGGGCUUCUGCACGCUCCACCCGAGCCUCUCUGAGCUCAGCCCAGCACCACGGCGCUGCCAGAAGCGUGGCUCUCCCGGCGUUUCCUAGCAACACACUCUGGAAAGUCAGUUCCUGGACUCUGGAGAAACACUGCCUUGGAGACCCUGACAGGUGGCCAGCUGAACUGCCGUGUGCCGGAGACCGAGCCUUCCCCGCCCCCGCUGCGUCUCAAAUCCCACGCGAGGAUGGCGGUGUGCAGGGCUGUUCUCCUGCUGGAAUCUGCGCCCUGACCUAAACCACUGCACUGAAUGGCUUUGGCAAAAUAGAGAUGUCUCUGUACAGGAUUUUAAGAAUAAAGAGAAAUUCUUUUUCCUUCAAAUCACUGAUUUAAAGAGGAGUGAUCAU